ACUAGGCACAUCUAAAUUUACAAAUUUUUCUAAGAAUGUCCAUCGAUAUGGGGUCCAAAAUAUUCUUUGUACAGUGAAAUUUGUCAAAUUCAAUUCUUUUUGGAUGUCUUUGGUCGUGACCGCACGCUGGCUCUCCGUGCAACAUCCCAUGGCUUCUGUGGAGCAUAUAUACCUAGCUGUGCAGCAAAAAAUGACUCAUACCCAGGUGAAUCAAAAGCAAAGCCAGUGUGUUUAGAUAUCUCUCGUGGGAGUUGAGCUAUGGCGUAGCUCCUUUCCUCAUGUGGUGUAAGCUGGUUCUCUAUCUCCAGCAAUCCUGCCCUACUGUUGUCAUCAGGUUCAU
rnacentral:misc_RNA from 1 species